ACGCACGCUGGCGGCGUGCUUAACCCCUGCCAGUCGCACGGAAAGGCCCUGCUUGCAGGGUGCUCGAGUGGCGAACGGGUGAGUAACACGUGGGUGAUCUGCCCCUUACUUUGGGAUAAGCCUGGGAAACUGGGUCUAAUACUGGAUAGGACCAUGCUGUAGGUGGUGUGGUGGAAAGAUUAGUUUCGGUAAGGGAUGAGCUCGCGGCCUAUCAGCUUGUUGGUGGGGUAAUGGCCUACCAAGGCGUCGACGGGUAGCCGGCCUGAGAGGGUGGACGGCCACAUUGGGACUGAGAUACGGCCCAGACUCCUACGGGAGGCAGCAGAGGGGAAUAUUGCACAAUGGGCGCAAGCCUGAUGCAGCGACGCCGCGUGGUGGAUGACGGCCUUCGGGUUGUAAACUCCUUUCAGCCAUGACGAAGCCCUUGUGGUGACGGUAGUGGUAGAAGAAGCACCGGCUAACUACGUG
rnacentral:rRNA from 1 species